rnacentral:rRNA from 1 species
GAUGAACGCUGGCGGCGUGCCUAAUACAUGCAAGUCGAACGAAACUUCUUUAUCACCGAGUGCUUGCACUCACCGAUAAAGAGUUGAGUGGCGAACGGGUGAGUAACACGUGGACAACCUGCCCAAAAGAGGGGGAUAACACUUGGAAACAGGUGCUAAUACCGCAUAACCAUAGUUACCGCAUGGUAACUAUGUAAAAGGUGGCUAUACUACCGCUUUUGGAUGGGCCCGCGGCGCAUUAGCUAGUUGGUAGGGUAAAGGCUUACCAAGGCAAUGAUGCGUAGCCGAAUUGAGAGGUUGAUCGGCCACAUUGGGACUGAGACACGGCCCAAACUCCUACGGGAGGCAGCAGUAGGGAAUCUUCCACAAUGGGCGAAAGCCUGAUGGAGCAACGCCGCGUGGGUGAAGAAGGUCUUCGGAUCGUAAAACCCUGUUGUUAGAGAAGAAAGUGCGUGAGAGUAACUGUUCACGUUUCGACGGUAUCUAACCAGAAAGCCACGGCUAACUACGUG